rnacentral:rRNA from 1 species
AGUGAACGCUGGCGGUAGGCCUAACACAUGCCAGUCGAACGGCAGCACAGUAAGAGCUUGCUCUUACGGGUGGCGAGUGGCGGACGGGUGAGGAAUACAUCGGAAUCUACUUUUUCGUGGGUGAUAACGGAGGGAAACUUACGCUAAUACCGCAUACGACCUACGGGUGAAAGCAGGGGAUCUUCGGACCUUGCGCGAUUGAAUGAGCCGAUGUCGGAUUAGCUAGUUGGCGGGGUAAAGGCCCACCAAGGCGACGAUCCGUAGCUGGUCUGAGAGGAUGAUCAGCCACACUGGAACUGAGACACGGUCCAGACUCCUAUGGGAGGCAGCAGUGGGGAAUAUUGGACAAUGGGCGCAAGCCUGAUCCAGCCAUACCGCGUGGGUGAAGAAGGCCUUCGGGUUGUAAAGCCCUUUUGUUGGGAAAGAAAAGCAGCAGGUUAAUACCCCGCUGUUCUGACGGUACCCAAAGAAUAAGCACCGGCUAACUUCGUG